UGUGCAGGAUAGGUGGGAGGCUUUGAAGCGCGGACGCCAGUCUGCGUGGAGCCAUCCUUGAAAUACCACCCUUUAAUGUUUGAUGUUCUAACUCGGCCCCGUAAUCCGGGGUGAGGACAGUGUCUGGUGGGUAGUUUGACUGGGGCGGUCUCCUCCCAAAGAGUAACGGAGGAGCACGAAGGUUAGCUAAUCACGGUCGGACAUCGUGAGGUUAGUGCAAAGGCAUAAGCUAGCUUGACUGCGAGAGUGACGGCUCGAGCAGGUACGAAAGUAGGUC
rnacentral:rRNA from 1 species